UUCUCACUUAUAAUACCACAAGAGCUUCAAAAUUAUCGGGUAUUUUCCGAUAGGUUCGUUGCAAACAAAUGAAGGAGUCAAGUUUUUCAGGUUAAAAAAUAACGAGCGCGAAGCGCGAGUGAUUUUUCCUGAAAAACUUGACGACUUUAUUUGUUUGCAGGGAACCUUGAGGGAAAUGCCAGAUAAUUUUGAAGCUCGUGUGGUAUUCGGGGGAUUAUUUUUCCGUCCCAAAUGUCGGCCACAACCUGUCAGUUUGACGUAGCAACGACCAGAGAAAAUAUUCAAAAAAAAUUAUCAGUAUAA